GUGGGGAAUCUUGCACAAUGGGGGAAACCCUGAUGCAGCGACGCCGCGUGGGUGAUGAAGCUCUUCGGAGUGUAAAGCCCUUUCGGCAGGGAAGAGUAAAGACGGUACCUGCAAAAGAAGCCCCGGCUAACUACGUGCCAGCAGCCGCGGUAAUACGUAGGGGGCCAGCGUUGUUCGGAAUUACUGGGCGUAAAGAGUGCGUAGGCGGUGCGGUGUGUUCGGUGUGAAAUCUCCCGGCUCAACCGGGAGGGGCCAUCGAAAACUGCCGCGCUAGGGUACGGGAGAGGGGAGUGGAAUUCCCGGUGUAGCGGUGAAAUGCGUAGAGAUCGGGAGGAACACCAGCGACGAAGGUGGCUCCCUGGACCGUAACCGACGCUGAGGCACGAAAGCUAGGGGAGCAAACAGGAUUAGAUACCCUUGUAGUCC
rnacentral:rRNA from 1 species